AUGUGACUUAUAUUGUUAACUUUGAUAGGGUAUUAAACAAGAUUCUGUAUCAUAAAAGUUGGAUUUAUUGCAAAAUCAUUUUAACAACACAAUAAAAUUUAAUUUUCAUUCAGAUCAUAACAUUCAAGCUCUAGCAUACAUACCAUUCAAGCUCUAGCAUACAUAACAUUCAAGCUCUAGCAUACACAACAUUCAAUAUAUAUGAAAGGUUAUUGUGACCAAUGAUACAUAGAUUUCUGACAUUGCUUGACCCUUUCAUAUAAUGCUCAGCAGGGUAGUUAUUUACUCUUAACCAUAUAUACCUGUAAUUAACUCACACAAGUUACUUAUAAUUUUUGGUGGCAUAUAUAUAUAAAUAAAGUUAAUUUCAAAAUGAAUUAUCUGCAAUACAAAAUCAUCUCAAUAAUAAAACAAAAUCAACAAUAUUAGGAAAAGCAUAUGGAUUUUGCACAAAUG
rnacentral:lncRNA from 1 species